UGGGCUGGCACAGGUUGAUUUGUAGC
rnacentral:piRNA from 1 species